UACGGAGGGGGCUAGCGUUGUUCGGAAUUACUGGGCGUAAAGCGCACGUAGGCGGCUAUUCAAGUCAGAGGUCAAAGCCCGGGGCUCAACCCCGGAAUUGCCUUUGAACCUAGAUAGCUCGAAUCUGGGAGAGGUGAGUGGAAUUCCGAGUGUAGAGGUGAAAUUCGUAGAUAUUCGGAAGAACACCAGUGGCGAAGGCUGCUCACUGGACCAGUAUUGACGCUGAGGUGCGAAAGCGUGGGGAGCAAACAGG
rnacentral:rRNA from 1 species